GACGAACGCUGGCGGCGUGCUUAACACAUGCAAGUCGAACGAAGUGGCGAACGGGUGAGUAACGCGUAAUCAACCUGCACUUCAGUGGGGGACAACAGUUGGAAACGGCUGCUAAUACCGCAUACUGAAGGACGGGAUUGUGUUGGAUUAGCUAGUUGGUGGGGUAACGGCCCACCAAGGCGAUGAUCAGUAGCCGGUCUGAGAGGAUGAACGGCCACAUUGGGACGGAGACACGGCCCAGACUCCUACGGGAGGCAGCAGUAGGGAAUCUUCCGCAAUGGACGAAAGUCUGACGGAGCAACGCCGCGUGAGUGAUGACGGCCUUCGGGUUGUAAAGCUCUGUUAAUCGGGACGCGGUACCGGAAUAGAAAGCCACGGCUAACUACGUGCCAGCCGCCGCGGUAAUUC
rnacentral:rRNA from 1 species